GUGUCAGCAGCCGCGGUAAGACGAACCGAGCGAACGUUGUUCGGAAUCACUGGGCUUAAAGGGCGCGUAGGCGGGCUGCCGCGUCCGGGGUGAAAUGCCACGGCUCAACCGUGGAACGGCCUCGGAUACGGGCGGUCUCGAGGGGGGUAGGGGCAUCUGGAACUGUGGGUGGAGCGGUGAAAUGCGUUGAGAUCCACAGGAACUCCGGUGGCGAAGGCGAGGUGCUGGACCCCAUCUGACGCUGAGGCGCGAAAGCCAGGGGAGCAAACGGGAUUAGAAACCCCAGUAGUCC
rnacentral:rRNA from 1 species